rnacentral:rRNA from 1 species
AUUGAACGCUGGCGGCAGGCCUAACACAUGCAAGUCGAGCGGCAGCGACUUAACUGAACCUUCGGGGAACGUUAAGGGCGGCGAGCGGCGGACGGGUGAGUAAUGCCUGGGAAUAUGCCUCAGUGUGGGGGAUAACUAUUGGAAACGAUAGCUAAUACCGCAUAAUCUCCGAUCUCUUACGAGAUGGGAGCAAAGCGGGGGACCUUCGGGCCUCGCGCGCUGAGAUUAGCCCAGGUGGGAUUAGCUUGUUGGUGAGGUAAUGGCUCACCAAGGCAACGAUCCCUAGCUGGUCUGAGAGGAUGAUCAGCCACACUGGAACUGAGACACGGUCCAGACUCCUACGGGAGGCAGCAGUGGGGAAUAUUGCACAAUGGGGGAAACCCUGAUGCAGCCAUGCCGCGUGUGUGAAGAAGGCCUUCGGGUUGUAAAGCACUUUCAGUAGGGAGGAAGGUAGUGUAGUUAACACCUGCAUUAUUUGACGUUACCUACAGAAGAAGCACCGGCUAACUCCGUGCCAGCAGCCGCGGUAAUACGGAGGGUGCGAGCGUUAAUCGGAAUUACUGGGCGUAAAGCGCAUGCAGGCGGCCUGUUAAGUCAGAUGUGAAAGCCCGGGGCUUAACCUCGGAAUUGCAUUUGAAACUGGCAGGCUAGAGUCUUGUAGAGGGGGGUAGAAUUUCAGGUGUAGCGGUGAAAUGCGUAGAGAUCUGAAGGAAUACCAGUGGCGAAAGGCGGCCCCCUGGACAAAGACUGACGCUCAAUGCGAAAGCGUGGGGAGCAAACAGG